rnacentral:rRNA from 1 species
CCUGGUUGAUCCUGCCAGUAGUCAUAUGCUUGUCUCAAAGAUUAAGCCAUGCAUGUGUAAGUACAGGCCGACUUAAGGCGAAACCGCGGACGGCUCAUUAAAUCAGAUAUAACUCAUUGGAUCUCUGCUGAACCGCAUUACUUGGAUAACUGUGGUAAUUCUAGAGCUAAUACAUGCCUUUGUAGUCUCCGACCGCGAGGGAGGAGCGCUUUUAUUAGACCAAAACCCUCGGCAGCCGGUUCCCGCAAGGGGCCGGCCGCACACAUCUUGGUGAAUCAGAAUAACUUUUGCCGAGCGCACGACCCCUCCCGUAACCCGGGUUGGGUCGGCGCCGCGUCCUGCAGGCGUCUGCCUUAUCAGCUCUCGAUUGUAGGUUAAAACGCCUACAAUGGCUAUCACGGGUAACGGGGAAUCAGGGUUCGAUUCCGGAGAGGGAGCCUGAGAAACGGCUACCACAUCUAAGGAAGGCAGCAGGCGCGCAAAUUACCCACUCCCGGCACGGGGAGGUAGUGACGAAAAAUACUGUUGCGAGCCCCGAACGGGGCCUCGCAAUUGGAAUGAGUACACUUUAAAUCCUUGUACGAGGAUCGAGUGGAGGGCAAGUCUGGUGCCAGCCGCCGCGGUAAUUCCAGCUCCACUAGCGUAUAUUAAAGUUGUUGCGGUUGAAACGCUCGUAGUUUGACUUCUGCUCCGGACCGGCGGUCCGCCUUAGCGGCGGCUACUGCCGGGUUCCGAGCUGUGUCCCCGCCGGCGCACAUGGGGUUUUUAUGCCCUUAACCGGGUGUCCCCUUGUGGCCGGCACGUUUACUUUGAAAAAAUUAGAGUGCUCAGAGCAGGCUGGUUUUUGCUUACAGCCCGAAUGGUCGUGCAUGGAAUGAUGGAACAGGACCUCGGUUCUAUUUUGUCGGUUUUUCGGAACCCGAGGUAAUGAUUAAUAGAAGCAGACGGGGGCAUUCGUACUGCGACGCUAGAGGUGAAAUUCUUAGACCGUCGCAUGACGACCUACUGCGAAAGCAUCUGCCAAGGAUGUUUUCAUUGAUCAAGAACGAAAGUUAGAGGUUCGAAGGCGAUCAGAUACCGCCCUAGUUCUAACCUUAAACGAUGCUGACUAGCGAUCCGCCGCAGUUAUUCCCAUGACCCGGCGGGUAGCUUCCGGGAAACCAAAGUCUUUGAGUUCCGGGGAAGUAUGGUUGCAAAGCUGAAACUUAAAGGAAUUGACGGAAGGGCACCACCAGGAGUGGAGCCUGCGGCUCAAUUUGACUCAACACGGGGAAACUCACCAGGCCAGGACACCGGAAGGAUUGACAGAAUGAAGGCUCUUUCUCGAUUCGGUGGGUGGUGGUGCAUGGCCGUUCUUAGUUGGUGGAGUGAUCUGUCUGGUUAAUUCCGAUAACGAACGAGACUCUAGCCUGCUAAAUAGUCGACGGAUCUCAACCCCGUUGCCCCCGUUGUCGUUCGCGGCGAUGCGGGGCGCGGGUUCCCCGAAACCCGGUCGUCGUGCGGGCCUCCACCGUCGGUCGGUUAGCGCCGCCGGCGGCGCGCCCCGCGGCGCCGGAAACUGGCGUCCGCUUCGCA